rnacentral:rRNA from 1 species
UGGGGAAUUUUUCGCAAUGGGGGAAACCCUGACGAAGCAACGCCGCGUGGAGGAUGAAGGCCUUCGGGUCGUAAACUCCUGUCAACCGGGACGAAUGCAGUUUGGUUUAAUACACCGAGCUGUUGACUGUACCGGUGGAGGAAGCCACGGCUAACUCUGUGCCAGCAGCCGCGGUAAUACAGAGGUGGCAAGCGUUGUUCGGAAUUACUGGGCGUAAAGGGCGCGUAGGCGGUUUCGUAAGUCCUGUGUGAAAGCCCCCGGCUCAACUGGGGAACUGCACGGGAAACUGCGAGGCUUGAGUUCGGGAGAGGGAAGCGGAAUUCCGGGUGUAGCGGUGAAAUGCGUAGAUAUCCGGAGGAACACCGGUGGCGAAGGCGGCUUCCUGGACCGACACUGACGCUGAGGCGCGAAAGCUAGGGGAGCAAACGGGAUUAGAUACCCGUGUAGUCC